AAUAAACAAACGGAAAACACAGUUAACUUAAAAGAUUGGAAACGAGAGAAAAAAAACAGGGAGGCGAAACCAUUUAGUUUCUUCACCGAGUUGCAAAGAAUUCCGUUAUGUCAAUUGAACGAUUCCCAAUCGACUCGUCAUAUUUUCUUCUGGUUCUCAAACAAUCAACAGUUCAUACAAUGAAUCACUAGGAGUCCCCACCCCCUCUAAUGUCUCUCGAUAACAUAAGCAUCUUAUCAAAAUAGGGAUUAAACGCAAUUGCAGUUGAAUACAGAAAGUUUCUGAUUUUAGCCAAUGUUAUUUCACUGAAGAGAACUAAACAUCAAUCUAGGGCUGAGAGUUCACGAUAACUUUGCCUAUGUAAACCAUCAAUAGACAAGUGUUCUUCAACUUCAUUGAAAAUCGUCAACUCGAUAUAUCCAUGGACCAAGAGCAAGAAUUAGUGAGUACUGUUUAAUGGAAAAUUGGAAAGCAUUCUGAUCAAUCCGUGUAAGUUUUUCUUGAUUUAUUUAUAUUUUUAUUAACUAUGAUUUUAUGAGGUUUGAACUAUUGAAACCUGUGAGAAUCACAAAGCCGUAGAUGGAAAUAGUUGUCUCCUAUUGAAAAGUAUGAGAGUUUGUUUAAUUUUUGAUGUAAUUGGUGACUUUGUUUUAACCUAUUCUUUUUUGAUGAUUUGUAUACAUGAAUUGUUGUUUUAGGAUCAACAGUAGACAUUCGAAGUUUUCUUCUGUGACCCAAUUUUAAUCAAUUACCUUCCUUGCCUCCAUCUUCUACAGCUAUUCACUCUUAGGUCCAGUAUAAGCCCUAAAAAUCAUAUAUAGAAUAUAUAAAACAAUAUCUUUCAUGUUGGGUACACGGUUAAGGUCGUUAGGUAUUUCUAUUAGAGGCGUGAUUACGAUCCAAGACUUCAAGUUAGGACAAAUUUUAUUAUCCAAUUCUUCUUGCAUCUGUUUGGCAUUGUAUCAAUGUCAAUGAAAAUUCCAAUGAGUGCAAUGGUCAACUAACAUCUUCAAAAUUCAAUCUACACCUUCUAUGACUGUAUGACAUAUUUUUUGUUAAGCUUUCAGAUUUUUGUUCCUGCAUCUUUUAAAAAAAAAAUAAGCGACUGAUUGAACAUUUAAUCUUACACAGCAUGAAGUAAAGUUGACACCUAGCAAGGCAAUGUAUAAUGUUAAGAUACCUUCUACUUUUCGGGUAGGUUAUAUUUUCAAAACUUGAUGACUUGAAUUCAUUGUCUUGCAGAAAACAUUAUAUUUAACUUACUCCAAAGAUCUUUUACGUGCUUCAUAUAGCUUAAUUGAGAACCUUGGUGCAUUAGUCUAUUAUUUGCAUCUAACUCCGGUUUACGUUUAAAAAAAAAUAAAAUUUCACAAUAAUUUGUUUUAUACACUAGCAGUGGUUUUCCUUGAUUGUGUUUAUGCAGCUCAGCCUUCUUGCACCAGAAUAGAAUAGUCUGUCGGGUUGAAUAGUGAAAAUCACAAAUUUAAAAAUAAAUUUAUGCAUAUGAAUUUAUGCUAUUUUGGUGCUUUGAAUGAGUUGUCUAUUGGAUUGGGUGCAUACCUAUUUUCUGAUGCAAUUUGCUUAGCAAAGACUAGAAAUUUUAGGGUCUUUGAUUACUCUUUUUGGGUAUUGGUUUUUCGCGUUUCAUCAAAUUCUGUAGGAAUUUUUUGUAUUGAUAAGAACCCACAAUUGGGGAUAUCAAAACUAAUUGGGGAUAUGAAUUACUUACCCCAACCCAAAGGUGUCUGCUAAGGGGUGUUUUUGGGGGCGAAAAUACUAAAACAUUCUUAGAUUAAUUAAAAAAUCUUAUGAAAAGACUGUUAUACCCUUUCUACUAAAACUUAAAAUCAAAAACCAAAUCAAAAUAUCCCCAUUUCCCUAUCAGUUCUGACAUUCAUAGUUAGGGUUAGGUUUUGAAUAUUUUUUUUUCUUCAUCUUCUUCAUCGUUCCCAUCAUCGUUGUUCGUCGACGAUUAAUCGUUAAUUCAAAAAUUUCUUCGUCGAUUAACCUACCCGAAUCAUAACCAUGCCUCCACUAAAGAAACCAAAUGCCCAAUCGAAGUCGUCAAGAGCGAUUGUUCAAGAAAAACAACAAAAGAGGAUUGCUUUGAUUGCCCAAGAGUAAUCGGACGAAGAAAAAGAGUUAUCGGACGAUCAACUACUCAAACACAUGGCUUCAGUGAGAAGAUCUAAAGCAAAGCAAGCUAAAGCAAGUGAAGCUAAGAGAUAAAAAAGUAAAGAUGUUGUCACUAAGAAAAGAAGGAAGGACGGUCUUGAUACUCCUCGGUCCAUUCCUCCUCGAGGGAACAACAAAAAGCGUUUGGGUGCUGGCACAAGAGGGGCUGUUUGGGAUAGUUGUCGUGAUCGUAGUAAACUCUCUAUCCAUGAAUCUACCGAAGCGGUUGAACAAGGUGGGGAGGAAGAUGAAGAAGAUGGUGAGGAAGAUGAAGAGGAAAAUGAGGAGGAAGAUAAUGAGAUUGAUCCAAGCCACUUACCAAAGAAAAGAUAAGGAGUAGUGGAACAAGGUGGUCCAAGUCAACAACCCACACAAGGCAAUGUGGAAGACAAUGGUAAAGGCAGAGGGAAAGGCAAUAGCAGAACAAAAGUUAAAGGCUCGCACCUUCCUUAUGUUGAUGACAUGAUACAUGACCUCAAGAAUGGUAAAAUUUAGGGCGCAGCUGUUGAAGAUCCGGAGCAUCUAUUUGGCUACAAGGACUCUUGGGCUCGUACUAUAUAUCAAACCUAUGAUCAUACGAAGGUUGUGCGUGUUUACCGAAACCAAGCCGCGACUUAUUGGGAUUUUUCUAAGGAGCAUGAUGAGGUCCAAGAAAUAAUAAAGGAUUUUGGUCUAUAUCCUUUGGUUGAGAAUUAUGUGAAGCCAGAUAUCGUGACUGCCAAUUGCUUCGUUGAAAGGUAUCAUGCUGAAACGGAUACCAUGCAUUUUUCGUUUGGCGAGAUGACCUUCAUCCAUGAAGAUGCUCAGAACAUUCUAGGCUUGGAGGUUAUCGGCGAAUCAAUUCAACACCGAGAGAAUCACUCUUUUGAGUUAGAUUGGUCGAAGUUGCACGAGCUUACUAACAAGUUGUUUGGUUGGGAAUACAAAACUUCGGUGGAAAGCUUUUAUGUAUCCUCGGUUAGUAGGACAAAGACCAUCAAGUUGACCCUGCUUAAGGAGAAGUUUCAAAACUCAAAGGAAAGAAGUACAAAGGAUGGAUGGGACCCUGCACAGAUUCGUUAUACAGCCGCUGCGUACCUGUUACACAUCUUGGGCACUAGGGUAUUCCCGGACACUAGUAGCAACAGGGUUAGUGCAAACUACCUUCAAUACUUGGAUCUGUUGCAAGAUGUCUUUACCUAUUCAUGGGGCACCAUUGCUAUGGCACAUUUGAUGGCGGAGAUGAGAAGGGUCUCUAAGGAGACUGCAAACCAAUUUGUUGGGAAUUUCACUCUACUCUAGGUUUGGGCUUAUGAACAUUUCCAAACAUUGUUCAAGGGCCACCCUUUCUUGAAGAUUAUUCAAGUUGAUGACGACGAGGAGCCUAGAGCCAAGAGGUACCAGUUCAACAGCCAUCCAAAGCCCGAUAACAACCUUCGAAUGAUAGAGAUGAGAUUGGCUCUAGAAGGGAUGACCACCAAGGAUGUUGUGUUCGACCCGUACAAGGAGGAUAGAGAGAACCACUACUACAAGAGUUUUUAUAAUGUUGCAUUUUACCAAGGGCCUUUGUUCCAUCCAAAGGAAUACAUUAUGGCUGAUCCUCGACGUGUGAUGCGGCAACUUGGAUUCAAGCAAUUACUCGACCGCAUGACUAGAACUGAUGAAAUGUAUAGGCUUGACCUUACUAUGUGCAAUACAGGUCCCACAAGGUUGACGGUAGAGUAUGAUCCAACUCCACAACCAACACAUUGGAGUGAUAAGGAACCACGUCGUUUGGUAGAUUUUAGUCAAUGGGAGCCUGUGAUCAACGGUGAUGAAGCCGAUCCCUCCUACAUGGAUGAUUACUUGGAGUGGUCACAUCCUUUUAUCGUGCGCCCGGCCAACGUCGAAGUUCCACCCCAGGAAAACCCUCCCGUUCUAACUUCUGUAGCACCACCACCACCUACAAUGGCCCAACUUAACAAUACCGUUGCAUUGUUUCGGCACCGGAUUGGGAAGUUGAAGAAGAUGUUAGGUUGCAAGCACAAGGAAGGAGAGGUGAUAGCCGGUGAAGAAUUGAAGGAAGUUGUGGAAAAGCUUGAGAACAUUGAAGACCCAAAUGCAAGAGCUUUGUUUGGGGAAACAAGGAAGGUGGCCGAUGCCAAGAAGCAAAAGACAAUGAAGUGAUGAACUCUAUGGUUCUGUUUUGUUAUUUGGAUGGUGGUUGUUAUGUUUUGAACAAUUUCUAACUUCUUUUUCGUUGAACUCUUUAGUUGUUUGAUUUACUUUUGGUUUAUGAUACUUUGAUAAAGAAUAUUUAAGCACGAUUCAGUUGUUUGGUUUAUGUUGAA